rnacentral:rRNA from 1 species
AGUCGAACGAAGUAGCAAUACUCAGUGGCAGACGGGUGAGUAACAUGUAGGUAUCUGCCCUUUGGCCUGGAAUAACACGAGGAAACUUGUGCUAAUACCGGAUAAGUCUUUACGGAGAAAGCUUUAUGCACCAUUGGAUGAGCCUGCACUUGAUUAGUUUGUUGGUGGGGUAAUGGCCUACCAAGACUGUGAUCAAUAGCUGAUUUGAGAGGAUGAUCAGCCACAUUGGGACUGAGACACGGCCCAAACUCCUACGGGAGGCAGCAGUGGGGAAUCUUGCACGAUGGAGGAAACUCUGAUGCAGCGAUGCCGCGUGAGUGAAGAAGGCCUUUGGGUUGUAAAGCUCUUUCGUCGGGGAAGAAAAUGACUGUACCCGAAUAGGAAGGUCCGGCUAACUUCGUGCCAGCAGCCGCGGUAAUACGAAGGGACCUAGCGUAGUUCGGAAUUACUGGGCUUAAAGAGUUCGUAGGUGGUUGAAGAAGUUGGUGGUGAAAUCCCAGAGCUUAACUCUGGAACUGCCAUCAAAACUUUUCAGCUAGAGUAUGAUAGAGGAAAGCAGAAUUUCUAGUGUAGAGGUGAAAUUCGUAGAUAUUAGAAAGAAUACCAAUUGCGAAGGCAGCUUUCUGGAUCAUUACUGACACUGAGGAACGAAAGCAUGGGUAGCGAAGAGGAUUAGAUACCCUCGUAGUCCAUGCCGUAAACGAUGUGUGUUAGACGUUGGAAAUUUAUUUUCAGUGUCGCAGCGAAAGCGAUAAACACA